UGCGUAAGGGAACCCGGGUGAAAGCCUGGGGUGCCCCGCGAGGGGGAGCCCUAGCACAGGUGCUGCAUGGCCGUCGUCAGCUCGUGCCGUGAGGUGUUGGGUUAAGUCCCGCAACGAGCGCAACCCCCGCCGUUAGUUGCCAGCGGUUCGGCCGGGCACUCUAACGGGACUGCCCGCGAAAGCGGGAGGAAGGAGGGGACGACGUCUGGUCAGCAUGGCCCUUACGGCCUGGGCGACACACGUGCUACAAUGCCCACUACAAAGCGAGGCCACUCGGCAACGGGGAGCUAAUCGACAAAAAGGUGGGCCCAGUUCGGAUUGGGGUCUGCAACCCGACCCCAUGAAGCCGGAAUCGCUAGUAAUCGCGGAUCAGCCAUGCCGCGGUGAAUACGUUCCCGGGCCUU
rnacentral:rRNA from 1 species